AAGUGAUUUGGUGUGGCUGUUCAGUUGCGGACCUCUGUUGAGGAAAGACUCGCCGGGCCACCGCCGAGAUAGGGGGUAGAAGAAAUGCGCCCGAAAUCUAGGCAGCGCAUACUCCGAAAGGACAACUUGUUCAGAAAUCCCCCUCCCUCUAUAAAGUUU
rnacentral:sRNA from 1 species